UUGGUUUUGAAAAUAUCUUUGAUUACUUCGAAGCUUUCUGUCUCUGGAUACCAAUCUAAAUGUAUGGUAUAUUGUAGAUGAUAAUCGUCUGCAAUAUGCCAUACAUUUAGAUUGGUAUCCUGAGUUUUCUUACUAUGUUAAUUUAUCAGGACUCUUCGCGCCAUUUCACGAGGCGUAAAGUAGAGAUUAGCCAUGUAGAUAAUUGUUAUAAUGUGCAUAUUAUUAAGAAUUUAAGCCAAUGGUUCGAUUUUUUUUGAUACCUCAGAAAUUCCCAUGAUACAAUGCGACACGAUACGAUUCGAUUCAGUUCGAUACUGGGGAUAGUAGUCGAAAUGAUGAAAUUUCACACAAUCCUUUACAUUUCAAUGGAUUAAAAAAGGCAAAUUUAAUUAGCAUUUUAUCAAGAAACUUGAACGAGCCAUGAUCAUUCGACUUGACAAAAUGGACCAAAAGCUGUCAAUGAUAGAAACACUUUUAAGAAGUGUUGCCCAGCCAAGCGACAUUUCUGAGUUUCUGGUUAAUCCUUGCAAGAGCACAUUAAUUGGAGGAUUUGUGCAUGAGGAUGAAUGAGGUGAAUACAGGACAAAAACUGUCCAUUACUUGAGCCUCCUUGGAGGCAGAACCCCUGGAGACGCCAUCCGCAGGGUACUUCGGACAGUUGGAGUAGACAGCCUUUGGUCGCAGUACAGCAUGAAGGGAAGGAAGGGGGGGGAAAAAUUUCAAGACCUUGACAUUUGCAGUGUUAUUAUUCAGGCUUGUCAAAGGAUUCACCCGAAGGUACAAGUCAAGGUGUUUGAAGAAUACAUUGCAGAAACCCUGAAGUACGCUCCUCAUCGUUAUUCAAGGACAGAGCAUGAAGAGACUGGACCUGCUAGUCUGGCACCACCACACACUCAUAUUCUCACUGAUUAAGCUUAAUUUAUAAAUACAAUGAGUUCCUAGUACAAGCUUAAAUGUGAAUGAGAAUAUUUGUUGUCGUUUUCUUUUCAAGUUUUUACCAUAUUAUUAAAAAAUUUCUUUUAAGUGUGCAGAUUAUAUAAUUACUUUUUGUAAUUCACACUGUUAUUGUACUGUUGUAAAUUGUGUUAAUAAAAAAUAAAGUUGAAAGAAUGGUUCAGGGACAUUAUUCUAACCAUGAAUUAAUAUUAAAGAAUGUGGGCAUUUUAAUGUUUUUGGAAUGUUACAAAUAAACGUUCUUAGAAUUUUAUAUUGUGAAUAAAAUUUAGGUGGAAAGAAUGUUGCAGGAAAGUUAUGCUAACCUUAAAAUAACGUUGUGCUAACAUAAAAAAA